CGACAUGGGCUCAUACACAGGGAGUCCCCGGGUUGUUCACGUACAAAUGAGGGCUGGGUCUGUGCUGGGGCCAGUCUGUCAUGAGUCCAACAGGCUCCUUGUGGACACUGCUUAGAAUUGACAUAGAGCUGUGUGGGGCAUCGGGGGCAGCGGAACUGAGGAGGGAUGGGGCAGGAAGCAGAGUCCCCCGAGACACACUCCGUUCACCUCCUAAGUGGGGCAAGACCUGCACCCUACCAGGCUCUCAUCUGGCUGGCCCCUGCCUGACGGUUUUGUUUUGUGCGUUUGCUCAGGAGGGAAGAAACGGAGGGGAAAGGCAUACUGGGAUGAGUCUGAAAGUGUUGGGGCCGCAGGUCCAAUCUCCUUGGGUGGAAAACUAGAGGAGGUGGGCCCCUCCGACUCCUAGGAGAAGAGAGGCCACACCAUGCAUUACAUAACCAAUCAAAAAACAACCCUUCAAGGAGUUGCUACACCAGGGCAAGAGCUGGAGAGAAAAACAAAGACAAAAACCAGCAGCAGCAGCAGCAGCAGUAGGCUGGCCGUUCAUUUCUCCUUCGCCCCCAUGUGUCCGCCUUCCAGGAUAACCUGUCUCUCCCACCCCAGGAAAGGCUGUGGUUCUGAGGAGCAUGGGGAGUCAAGGAAUAAAGCAAAGGAGAUGA